AGCCAGCUGACGAGUCCCAAAUAGGACUAAACGAGCGUUCUGAAU
rnacentral:hammerhead_ribozyme from 1 species